GUGGGAGUGGCUUUGUAUUUAUGUUUUAUUGAUGUUUUAUUGUUAUGAUUCUUUUUCAUCUCAUACAUCUAUGAUGAAUACUAAUAUACAUUAUUGAUAUGAUAAAUUGAUGGUACAUUUGUAUUAAUUCUUUUAGUUAUGUGUACAUAUUUAUUUUAGUAUACUUGUAGAUAUUUCUUUGUUAUAUACCUGUUAUAUGAAAUUUGAGACUAGGC
rnacentral:lncRNA from 1 species